GCGGCAGUGGCGGAAUUGGCAGACGCGCAAGAUUCAGGUUCUUGUGGGCGUAGGCCCGUGGGGGUUCAAGUCCCUUCUGCCGCA
rnacentral:tRNA from 1 species